AUUGAACGCUGGCGGCAUGCCUUACACAUGCAAGUCGAACGGUAACAGGUCUUCGGAUGCUGACGAGUGGCGAACGGGUGAGUAAUACAUCGGAACGUGCCCGAGAGUGGGGGAUAACGGAGCGAAAGCUUUGCUAAUACCGCAUACGAUCUCAGGAUGAAAGCAGGGGACCGCAAGGCCUUGCGCUCACGGAGCGGCCGAUGGCAGAUUAGGUAGUUGGUGGGAUAAAAGCUUACCAAGCCGACGAUCUGUAGCUGGUCUGAGAGGACGACCAGCCACACUGGGACUGAGACACGGCCCAGACUCCUACGGGAGGCAGCAGUGGGGAAUUUUGGACAAUGGGCGCAAGCCUGAUCCAGCCAUGCCGCGUGCAGGAUGAAGGCCUUCGGGUUGUAAACUGCUUUCGACAGGGAUGAACGGUAGGGGUGUGAAUAGCGUUCCUAUUUGACAGUACCUGGAGAAGAAGCCCCGGCUAACUCCGUG
rnacentral:rRNA from 1 species